UGUGUAUGAGAGCGAUGUAAUGUCCAUGUCUCCAUGCUGCUCUGACCCCCCUCCUCCUUUCAGGGUGGAGCCUGCUGGAGUCCGAUGGUUCAGACCAGGUCUGAGGAAGUAUUCCUGUGAACUCACACUCGACACAAACACAGUGAACAGAAACCUCAAACUGUCUGACAACAACAGGAAGGUGACACAUGUGGAGGAGGUUCAGUCAUAUCCUGAUCAUCCAGACAGAUUUGACCACUGGUCUCAGCUGCUGUGUAGAACUGGUCUGACUGAUCGCUGUUACUGGGAGGUCGAGUGGAGAGGAG